rnacentral:rRNA from 1 species
UACGAAGGGGGCUAGCGUUGUUCGGAAUCACUGGGCGUAAAGGGCGCGUAGGCGGCUUUAUAAGUCGGGGGUGAAAGCCUGUGGCUCAACCACAGAAUUGCCUUCGAUACUGUAGAGCUUGAGACCGGAAGAGGUAAGUGGAACUGCGAGUGUAGAGGUGAAAUUCGUAGAUAUUCGGAAGAACACCAGUGGCGAAGGCGGCUCACUGGACCGGCAUUGACGCUGAGGUGCGAAAGCGUGGGGAGCAAACAGG